rnacentral:rRNA from 1 species
UAGCGUUAUCCGGAUUUAUUGGGUUUAAAGGGUCCGUAGGCGGACUUAUAAGUCAGUGGUGAAAGCCUGUCGCUUAACGAUAGAACUGCCAUUGAUACUGUAAGUCUUGAGUAUAUUUGAGGUAGCUGGAAUAAGUAGUGUAGCGGUGAAAUGCAUAGAUAUUACUUAGAACACCAAUUGCGAAGGCAGGUUACCAAGAUAUAACUGACGCUGAGGGACGAAAGCGUGGGGAGCGAACAGGAUUAGAUACCCUGGUAGUCCACGCCGUAAACGAUGCUAACUCGUUUUUGGGCUUUAGGGUUCAGAGACCAAGCGAAAGUGAUAAGUUAGCCACCUGGGGAGUACGCUCGCAAGAGUGAAACUCAA